rnacentral:rRNA from 1 species
GAGUAGAGCGGCGCACGGGUGAGUAACGCGUGGGUAACCUACCUCCCGGCGGGGGAUAACUACUCGAAAGGGUGGCUAAUACCGCAUAAGUCCGAGAGGAGAAAGGCGAAAGUCGCCGAGGAAGGAGCCCGCGGCUGAUUAGCUAGUUGGUAGGGUAAAAGCCUACCAAGGCUUUGAUCGGUAGCCGGCCUGAGAGGGCACACGGCCACACUGGCACUGAGACACGGGCCAGACUCCUACGGGAGGCAGCAGUGGGGAAUCUUGCACAAUGGGGGAAACCCUGAUGCAGCGACGCCGCGUGAACGAUGAAGCCCUUCGGGGUGUAAAGUUCUUUCGACAGGAACGAUUAUGACGGUACCUGGAGAAGAAGCUGCGGCUAACUACGUGCCAGCAGCCGCGGUAAUACGUAGGCAGCAAACGUUGUUCGGAGUUACUGGGCGUAAAGAGUAUGUAGGUGGUUUGCUAAGUUUGGUGUGAAAUCUCCCGGCUCAACUGGGAGGGUGCGCCGAAUACUGGUGAACUUGAGUGUGGGAGAGGGAAGCGGAAUUUCUGGUGUAGCGGUGAAAUGCGUAGAUAUCAGAAGGAACACCGGUGGUGUAGACGGCUUCCUGGACCACAACUGACACUGAGAUACGAAAGCGUGGGGAGCAAACAGGAUUAGAUACCCU